UACAACCCUUAUUAUCAAAAAAUGUUGUUCCAUGAAAUGAGUUAGGGUUAAUAUUAGACUCAAUUUUCCUGAAAUGAGCUUCUUCUACAUAUGCUGAAACUCUGAGAGGAGAGAGAAACAGAACAAAUGUCUCAACUCUCAAAUGAGCUUCUUCAAUUGCGCCAUUUAUGUACUAAACUCAAAAUCAAAGCUCUAAUUGUGUUGCCGCUAGAGUGAUCUGAUCAUUACAGAUACAUUAUAACUGCAUUCUGAUCGACGAUGGGAGACAAUCAAGUUAGCUCACACGAAGCCAACGGCUUGGGUGGUUAGAAAUGUGAUCUGCCUAAGGACUCUGAUGACAAUGAUGCUGAUGUGAUCUUAUAUCUUGUUCAGCUGAAUAAAAUGCCUAUUCAUUGGAGAAGGGGGACAAUAUCAUUUACUCUAGAUUUCAACUACUACAGAAAUCAACUGACUGUGAGGAGAUCAAGGGUGAGAAGGUAGAUUACAGGAAACAUUGGGUCAGUUUUCUUUCUUCAUGCUAUCUGCAUGUGUUUGUGUCCUUUCACUGUCCAGUUAUGUGUUGCUGCAAUGUAGCUCUUUGACGUAGCUUAUGGCGAGCAAUAUCCUAAGGGGCGAGGGAUUUUCUACAAAGCUUCAUCAACGCUUAGCCCUCGAGAAAUCAACCGACUGUGAGGAGACCAAGGUUGAGAAGGUAGAUUACAGGAAACUUUGGGUCAGUUUUCUUUCUUCAUGCUAUCUGCAUGUGUCUGUGUCCUUUCACUGUCUAGUUAUGUGUUGCUGCAAUGUAGCCCUUUGACGUAGCUUAUAAUGAGCAACAUCCUAAGGGUCGAGGGAUUUUCAAUAAAGCUUCAUCAACGCUUAGCCCUCGAGCUAUUACAAGCAUUCCUGUCCAGUCUGUCGAUUUGGCAUUCAGUAUCACUGAUUAGUCUAUGCCCUGCUAACUCCAACCCAAGGAUUCAGCCAUGUGGAAAGCAACAUCGUCCAAGAACUCUUAGCAGCAGAAGCAAGAGAAGGCCAUCAAAUUCAUCAUUGUGAAUGUGCUUUCUCUGGUGCUAAAUCCGUGGGAAUUCUUCGUAUGACACCCACAGAGAUCGAUGGUUUAUCAACAUAAUUUAGUGCCUAACAGAGAGUUGGGCGCAUAGUUACUUAAUACGCGGGUAUUAUAUCUCUGUAAACUAUAUGAUUCAGGCUAAGAUUGACUGUUUUUGCGUUAUAAUUCAUCUUUUUAAAUAAUCAGUACAUGGGGGAUUAGAGUAUUAGGUGGGCUUUUUAACUGUUAGAGUUGACUAUGUGUGGUUAUUGCAUAGCUUAUGACUGUUCUGAGUUAGGAGUAAAUUUAUUGCCUGUUUAAGUUGAAAAAAUUACAGAAAAGGUGAGGUUGUGAAAAACUCCAAUUGAUUCUCAUUUCUGACUCAAUUUUAGUUACUGUUAUCCUUA